UUGCUACAGAGGCUGGCAUUAAUCACUUACCGAUAAUGAUGUAUUUGAAAAUGUAGGAGUAGUUGUACGGUGCAGUGGCCAUUGUGGCUCUAAAAUGAAGUCUUUUGAGCUGUGAGUUCUUGAGCUGCUCAGAGGAGGUUUGCAGGUUAUCCUGGCUCAAGUAUGAUCAGUCUAUCCAAGAUGGCUGGUCGCGGCACAGGGUUUCCUCCACCGUGUACAAUGGGCUUCUGGGACAAAGAGCAUCGUAUGCGGCGGUUUGCGGUGUGCACCCUUUCAAGGAAGGCAACCUCACCUGCGCAGGUUUUUGUAGUCUUCCCAGUCUCAUCAGGAGAUCACUUGAAAUACGCCUUUGAAGGGAAGCUCUCCAAGUACACAGGACUGGUCAGCACCUCUCUGCAGGCCGGAUGGAGAACGAAGGUGUUUCCAAGUGGAAGUUGGAUGCUUGAGAUUUGCAUCCCAUUCUUUGGCUUGAGCAUUCAGAAACUUGGGCAUUGAGGGGGAGGGAGGGGGAGGAGAGUACCACCACAGUACCAUCGGUGUGAUCAGAGAGAGCUUCAAGAUGGCCUUGAUCAAAAAGAGGAGAGCCAUGUGGACUCCAUCUGGGGUCUGAUCAGUCCCAGCUGGGUCACCUGGAGGAGGGUGUGUGAUGUUGAAAGAACCAAAACACUUGAUGAUUCAAGGAACAUCACUGAUGACGUGUUCAGAGGCAUAAGUGGAUGUAGGUACACAGUGUGACAGGUAUGGGUAUAAUAUACAGUAUGUUUUCUAUAUGAGGAUUUGUUAUAUACAGAACAAAUAGUGUAAGUACAUGGUACUUAGCAAAUGGUACUAAAUUAGUAAAGAGCCUCUGUGCAAUAGCCUUUUUAACAUUUCAAAUGUCUGCUGCUAUCUUAUAUGACCAUGAUAUAUCAGCCUACUGUGAAUGUUGUAGGUCUGUUUUAUUCAAUUUAGUGUAAAAAAUAAUAAUUUUAAAAAUGUUAUUUUUCAAUUCA